rnacentral:sRNA from 1 species
CCCGGCCUGUAAUGCAGACCUAUUUAUGCAACAAAUUGAAAUAGAAAACUUCGUUCCACCGCUUUGUAAAAAGUGCAGUUGUCCUGAAGAGCUUCAUUAUUCUUUUGUCCAUAAGUAAUACAUUAUGAUGGCUUAAGUACGCGACAAGCGUAAGAUUAAUUUUUAUUCAGGAGACAUGUCAUGUCUAAAGCAACUGGUAUUGUUAAGUGGUUUAACGACGAGAAAGGUUUUGGUUUCAUCACUCAGGACAAUGGCGGCGCUGACGUAUUCGUUCACUUCCGUGCAAUCGCUGGUGAAGGCUUCAAAUCUCUAGCUGAAGGCCAGAAAGUAUCUUUCGACAUCGAACAAGGUCAGAAAGGUCCUCAAGCUGCUAACGUUGAGCGUAUCUAAUUUGAUACCAAGCGUUAAGCUUUGAGAAAAGGGUAUCUUAGGAUACCCUUUUUUGU